rnacentral:rRNA from 1 species
AACGAACGCUGGCGGCAUGCCUAACACAUGCAAGUCGAACGAGACCUUCGGGACUAGUGGCGCACGGGUGCGUAACGCGUGGGAACCUGCCCUUAGGUUCGGAAUAACUCACCGAAAGGGGUGCUAAUACCGGAUAUUGUCUUCGGACCAAAGAUUUAUCGCCAUUGGAUGGGCCCGCGUUGGAUUAGCUAGUUGGUAGGGUAAAAGCCUACCAAGGCGACGAUCCAUAGCUGGUCUGAGAGGAUGAUCAGCCACACUGGGACUGAGACACGGCCCAGACUCCUACGGGAGGCAGCAGUGGGGAAUAUUGGACAAUGGGCGAAAGCCUGAUCCAGCAAUGCCGCGUGAAUGAUGAAGGCCUUAGGGUUGUAAAGCUCUUUUACCCGGGAUGAUAAUGACAGUACCGGGAGAAGAAGCUCCGGCUAACUCCGUG